rnacentral:rRNA from 1 species
AGUGAACGCUGGCGGUAGGCCUAACACAUGCAAGUCGAACGGCAGCACAGAGGAGCUUGCUCCUUGGGUGGCGAGUGGCGGACGGGUGAGGAAUACAUCGGAAUCUACUCUGUCGUGGGGGAUAACGUAGGGAAGCUUACGCUAAUACCGCAUACGACCUACGGGUGAAAGCAGGGGAUCUUCGGACCUUGCGCGAUUGAAUGAGCCGAUGUCGGAUUAGCUAGUUGGCGGGGUAAAGGCCCACCAAGGCGACGAUCCGUAGCUGGUCUGAGAGGAUGAUCAGCCACACUGGAACUGAGACACGGUCCAGAAUCCUACGGGAGGCAGCAGUGGGGAAUAUUGGACAAUGGGCGCAAGCCUGAUCCAGCCAUACCGCGUGGGUGAAGAAGGCCUUCGGGUUGUAAAGCCCUUUUGUUGGGAAAGAAAUCCAUCUGGUUAAUACCCGGGUGGGAUGACGGUACCCAAAGAAUAAGCACCGGCUAACUUCGUGCCAGCCGCCGCAGUAA